rnacentral:rRNA from 1 species
GAUGAACGCUGGCGGCGUGCUUAAUACAUGCAAGUCGAACGAAGCAUUUGCGACAGAUUUUUUCGGAAUGAAGUUGCUUAUGACUGAGUGGCGGACGGGUGAGUAACGCGUGGGUAACCUGCCUUGUACUGGGGGAUAGCAGCUGGAAACGGCUGGUAAUACCGCAUAAGCGCACAAUGUUGCAUGACAUGGUGUGAAAAACUCCGGUGGUAUAAGAUGGACCCGCGUCUGAUUAGCUAGUUGGUGAGAUAACAGCCCACCAAGGCGACGAUCAGUAGCCGACCUGAGAGGGUGACCGGCCACAUUGGGACUGAGACACGGCCCAGACUCCUACGGGAGGCAGCAGUGGGGAAUAUUGCACAAUGGAGGAAACUCUGAUGCAGCGACGCCGCGUGAGUGAAGAAGUAAUUCGUUAUGUAAAGCUCUAUCAGCAGGGAAGAUAGUGACGGUACCUGACUAAGAAGCUCCGGCUAAAUACGUG